UACGGGGGGUGCGAGCGUUGUCCGGAAUCACUGGGCGUAAAGGGCGCGUAGGUGGUUUGAUAAGGGCGUGGUGAAAGGCCGGAGCUCAACUCCGGAUCUGCCGUGCCGACUGUCAAACUCGAGGGCUGUAGAGGCAGACGGAAUUCCGGGUGUAGCGGUGGAAUGCGUAGAGGUCCGGAGGAAGACCGGUGGCGAAGGCGGUCUGCUGGGCAGUUUCUGACACUGAGGCGCGACAGCGUGGGGAGCAAACAGG
rnacentral:rRNA from 1 species